UACAGAGGUCCCAAGCGUUGUUCGGAUUUACUGGGCGUAAAGGGUGCGUAGGUGGCGGGGUAAGUCUGGUGUGAAAUCUCCGAGCUCAACUCGGAAAAGCAUUGGAAACUAUCCCGCUAGAGGGUCGGAGGGGAGACUGGAAUUCCCGGUGUAGUGGUGGAAUGCGUAGAUAUCGGGAGGAACACCAGUGGCGAAGGCGGUUGCCUGGGGCUUGCUGACGCUGAUGCGCGAAAGCGUGGGGAGCGAUCCGG
rnacentral:rRNA from 1 species